rnacentral:rRNA from 1 species
AACGAACGCUGGCGGCAUGCCUAACACAUGCAAGUCGAACGAGACCUUCGGGUCUAGUGGCGCACGGGUGCGUAACGCGUGGGAACCUGCCCUUAGGUUCGGAAUAACUCCGCGAAAGGGGUGCUAAUACCGGAUAAUGUCUUCGGACCAAAGAUUUAUCGCCUUUGGAUGGGCCCGCGUUGGAUUAGCUAGUUGGUAGGGUAAAAGCCUACCAAGGCGACGAUCCAUAGCUGGUCUGAGAGGAUGAUCAGCCACACUGGGACUGAGACACGGCCCAGACUCCUACGGGAGGCAGCAGUGGGGAAUAUUGGACAAUGGGCGAAAGCCUGAUCCAGCAAUGCCGCGUGAGUGAUGAAGGCCUUAGGGUUGUAAAGCUCUUUUACCCGGGAUGAUAAUGACAGUACCGGGAGAAUAAGCUCCGGCUAACUCCGUG